rnacentral:tRNA from 1 species
UUCCCACUGGUGUAAUGGUAGCACAAAGGAUUUUGGUUCCUUUAGUGGUAGUUCAAAUCUAUCGUGGGAAGCCA